UGCAACCCCCGUGCAACCAGGUAUCAAUCCUU
rnacentral:piRNA from 1 species